UGGGGGAUAUUGCACAAUGGGGGAAGCCCUGAUGCAGCGACGCCGCGUGGGUGAAGGAGCGUUUCGGCGCGUAAAGCCCUAUCGGCAGGGAAGAAGACGACGGUACCUGACCAAGAAGCCCCGGCUAACUACGUGCCAGCAGCCGCGGUAAUACGUAGGGGGCAAGCGUUAUCCGGAUUUACUGGGUGUAAAGGGGGCGCAGACGGCAAUGCAAGCCAGGAGUGAAAGCCCGGGGCCCAACCCCGGGACUGCUCUUGGAACUGCAUGGCUGGAGUACAGGAGGGGCAGGCGGAAUUCCUAGUGUAGCGGUGAAAUGCGUAGAUAUUAGGAGGAACACCAGUGGCGAAGGCGGCUUACUGGACGAUGACUGACGUUGAGGCUCGAAAGCGUGGGGAGCAAACAGGAUUAGAUACCC
rnacentral:rRNA from 1 species